CUUCCAACUCUACAAUUCGAUGAGUCUAUGUGCAGGGGGAGGAGGAACAUCCCAUUGCACAAGUGUAAAUCCGUGUGCAGAUGGGACAAUUAUGGCUGCAUGAAAUGCAAGCCAUGGUGUCUUGCCUCCAUAGAGUUUCCCCUCCAAUGUCCACUUAACUACAACGCUCUCUCUUGUUGCAAAACACUGAAAGCCAAAGUAGUGUCUUGUCUCAUUUCUGAUUUAGGGUUGUCGAUCAGUAUCCUGGAGGUGAUAUCUGGAGAAAGUGAGCAGUCGUUCUUCUUCCUCUCUCAUAGUGCGUCCAGUGAUGCUGCAUGGGUUUUGCAGCUUGGGAACUACUGCAGAAGGAAAAAGUUGGAAGCAAGCUUUGAAUGCACAAAAAGCCAAUUAUGAAGUAGGAUAUUUAGCACAAAUUAUAUGCUUCUAUGCCAAGCUAUGUGUUUAUCCACUUUUGCCAGGACAGCCUUGACCCAGCCACCAUGUCUGUAGACUUUUUCCAUGCAAAGAUAGAGGAGCUGGGUUGAACUAAUUUAAGAGUACAAAAGGUGAAAGGUUUUGAGUGACCUCCCACAGCUGUCCUCCAGGGACUCAGUUAUAAAUGAAAACAAUACAUUCUUUUUGGAAAUAUAUAACAACUUGGAACAAGGCAUGCCUGUAAUCUACAGCACACUUUGGGAGACCCAGAGCUCUUGGGAGGUAGAGAACAGAGAAGCAUUUGGGUAGGAGAAGAAAUGACAGGUCUCCUCUGAUUCUCUGCCCCCUCAAGUGCCUUCUCUCUGCAAUUCUUGGAUUAUGUUUUCUGCACUCACUUGGAGGAAAAUUGCUGUUAGUAUGAUUGCUGCUGGCACCCUGCUUCUCAGCUGGAUUGUGCCAAGCAGUGAAGUCAUUGUAAUGUUAUCAGGAUCAACUGUUAGCUCCCUUUCCUGGGGCAAAGCACAGAGGCCACUCCCUUCUCUGCAGGAACUCCCUGAAGCUGGCUGUACCUGAAGGCAUGCUGAGUAACUAUGCAAGGAAGUGGGAAGGGAAAAAAGUGAGACCUAAGGCCCAGCGGGGUCUUCACUCAGCCUGCACAUCAAAAUAAAUACUGUAGAAGGGAAAGGAAGAAGUAAUGAUUGGUGUUCAGUUUCCCCCCAACUCCUGUGAACAGCAAGCUGAGCAUUUCCCAAAGGGUCUCCAAAAGUAAAAAUAAAUAAAUCAGCUGAUAAUUCUCCAGCAGUCAGGGGGCAUUGCGAAAUACUUAAGGGAUGUCAGGCACAGGCCCAUGAUGACCACAAAUUUACAUAUAUUUUGUACAUAUGUUAAUUUAUAAGAUGUAUAUUUUCAAAUGCAGGGUGAUUCUAAGAGGGUGAAAAACAAACUUUGGCUAUAUAUAAAUUAAGAAGACAGGUACCCCUUGCAGCAUGACUAACCACUUUGUAAAAAAAAAAA